GUGUGUGUGUGUGUGUGUGUAUAUAUAUAUAUAUAUGUGUGUGUGUGUGUGUAUAUAUAUAUAUAUAUACACACACACACACACACAC